rnacentral:lncRNA from 1 species
GAAUUCAAAUUUGAGUCCAGAAACUUCCUACCUGUGUGACCCUGGACAAGUCACUGCUCUUCUGCCUUGGAACUGAUGCUUAAAAUUGAUUCCAACAUAGAAGAUCGCUGAUCAGAAGUGUUUAUGGAAUGACACACUAGAUACUGCCCUCCCAUAGACAAAGCUGAGCUCGCAACUGUUCUUCACCUAGUCAGCUCCCAUAAUUUGUGUGUGUCCAAAGCAGCACCCAUCAUUUUGCUGGGUGACCUUGAGAAAGUCAUGGAGGGGUAG